rfam:Zea mays strain NB mitochondrion, complete genome.
GCAUCCAUGGCUGAAUGGUGAAAGCGCCCACCAACCUAGAAAGGCUAAAUGGGUAAAAAAGUAGGUUCGAUUCCUGCCGGAUGCA